UUAAGUUAGAAAGGGCGCACGGUGGAUGCCUUGACACUAGGAGUCGAUGAAGGACGGGACUAACGCCGAUAUGCUUCGGGGAGCUGUAAGUAAGCUUUGAUCCGAAGAUUUCCGAAUGGGGAAACCCACCAUACGUAAUGGUAUGGUAUCCUUAUCUGAAUACAUAGGGUAAGGAAGACAGACCCAGGGAACUGAAACAUCUAAGUACCUGGAGGAAGAGAAAGCAAAUGCGAUUUCCUGAGUAGCGGCGAGCGAAACGGAACAUAGCCCAAACCAAGAGGCUUGCCUCUUGGGGUUGUAGGACAUUCUAUACGGAGUUACAAAGGAACGAGGUAGACGAAGCGACCUGGAAAGGUCCGUCGUAGAGGGUAACAACCCCGUAGUCGAAACUUCGUUCUCUCUUGAAUGUAUCCUGAGUACGGCGGAACACGUGAAAUUCCGUCGGAAUCUGGGAGGACCAUCUCCCAAGGCUAAAUACUCCCUAGUGAUCGAUAGUGAACCAGUACCGUGAGGGAAAGGUGAAAAGCACCCCGGAAGGGGAGUGAAAGAGAUCCUGAAACCGUGUGCCUACAAAUAGUCAGAGCCCGUUAACGGGUGAUGGCGUGCCUUUUGUAGAAUGAACCGGCGAGUUACGAUCCCGUGCGAGGUUAAGCUGAAGAGGCGGAGCCGCAGCGAAAGCGAGUCUGAAUAGGGCGUUUAGUACGUGGUCGUAGACCCGAAACCAGGUGAUCUACCCAUGUCCAGGGUGAAGUUCAGGUAACACUGAAUGGAGGCCCGAACCCACGCACGUUGAAAAGUGCGGGGAUGAGGUGUGGGUAGCGGAGAAAUUCCAAUCGAACCUGGAGAUAGCUGGUUCUCCCCGAAAUAGCUUUAGGGCUAGCCUUAAGUGUAAGAGUCUUGGAGGUAGAGCACUGAUUGGACUAGGGGUCCUCAUCGGAUUACCGAAUUCAGUCAAACUCCGAAUGCCAAUGACUUAUCCUUAGGAGUCAGACUGCGAGUGAUAAGAUCCGUAGUCAAAAGGGAAACAGCCCAGACCGCCAGCUAAGGUCCCAAAGUGUGUAUUAAGUGGAAAAGGAUGUGGAGUUGCUUAGACAACUAGGAUGUUGGCUUAGAAGCAGCCACCAUUUAAAGAGUGCGUAAUAGCUCACUAGUCGAGUGACUCUGCGCCGAAAAUGUACCGGGGCUAAAUACACCACCGAAGCUGCGGAUUGAUACCAAUGGUAUCAGUGGUAGGGGAGCGUUCUAAGGACAGUGAAGUCAGACCGGAAGGACUGGUGGAGUGCUUAGAAGUGAGAAUGCCGGUAUGAGUAGCGAAAGACGGGUGAGAAUCCCGUCCACCGAAUGCCUAAGGUUUCCUGAGGAAGGCUCGUCCGCUCAGGGUUAGUCAGGACCUAAGCCGAGGCCGACAGGCGUAGGCGAUGGACAACAGGUUGAUAUUCCUGUACCACCUCUUUAUCGUUUGAGCAAUGGAGGGACGCAGAAGGAUAGAAGAAGCGUGCGAUUGGUUGUGCACGUCCAAGCAGUUAGGCUGAUAAGUAGGCAAAUCCGCUUAUCGUAAAGGCUGAGCUGUGAUGGGGAAGCUCCUUAUGGAGCGAAGUCUUUGAUUCCCCGCUGCCAAGAAAAGNNNNNNNNNNNNNNNNNNNNNNNNNNNNNNNNNNNNUCCAAGCAGUUAGGCUGAUAAGUAGGCAAAUCCGCUUAUCGCGUAGGCUGAGCUGUGAUGGGGAAGCUCCUUAUGGAGCGAAGUCUUUGAUUCCCCGCUGCCAAGAAAAGCUUCUAGCGAGAUAAAAGGUGCCUGUACCGCAAACCGACACAGGUAGGCGAGGAGAGAAUCCUAAGGUGUGCGAGAGAACUCUGGUUAAGGAACUCGGCAAAAUGACCCCGUAACUUCGGGAGAAGGGGUGCUUUCUUAACGGAAAGCCGCAGUGAAUAGGCCCAAGCGACUGUUUAGCAAAAACACAGCUCUCUGCGAAGCCGUAAGGCGAAGUAUAGGGGGUGACACCUGCCCGGUGCUGGAAGGUUAAGGAGAGGGGUUAGCGUAAGCGAAGCUCUGAACUGAAGCCCCAGUAAACGGCGGCCGUAACUAUAACGGUCCUAAGGUAGCGAAAUUCCUUGUCGGGUAAGUUCCGACCCGCACGAAAGGUGUAACGAUUUGGGCACUGUCUCAACCAGAGACUCGGUGAAAUUAUAGUACCUGUGAAGAUGCAGGUUACCCGCGACAGGACGGAAAGACCCCGUGGAGCUUUACUGUAGCCUGAUAUUGAAUUUUGGUACAGUUUGUACAGGAUAGGCGGGAGCCAUUGAAACCGGAGCGCUAGCUU
rnacentral:rRNA from 1 species